UCCCUGGUGGUCUAGUGGCUAAGGAUCCCGUGCGCUCACUGCUGUGGCCCGGGUUUGAUUCCCGAGCAGGGAA